rnacentral:pre_miRNA from 1 species
CAUCGGUGGUUAGAAAAGAAUCAAUGUAGAAAGUAUUGUAUUUCUACAAUGAUCUAUUGUUGACCGUUGUUGA